rnacentral:rRNA from 1 species
CCUACGGGUGGCAGCAGUGGGGAAUAUUGCGCAAUGGGCGAAAGCCUGACGCAGCGACGCCGCGUGAGGGAUGACGGUCUUCGGAUCGUAAACCUCUGUCAGCAGGGAAGAACGGUCACUGUGCUAAUCAGCAGUGAAUUGACGGUACCUGCAAAGGAAGCACCGGCUAACUCCGUGCCAGCAGCCGCGGUAAUACGGAUGGUGCGAGCGUUAAUCGGAAUUACUGGGCGUAAAGCGCUCGUAGGCGGUAUGUCAAGUCAAUGGUGAAAUCCCCGCGCGCAACGUGGGAACUGCCUUUGAAACUGGCAAACUGGAGUGUGUGUGAGGAUAGUGGAAUUCCAGGUGUAGGAGUGAAAGCCGUAGAUAUCUGGAGGAACAUCAGUGGCGAAGGCGACUAUCUGGCACAUAACUGACGCUGAGGAGCGAAAGCGUGGGUAGCAAACAGGAUUAGAUACCCCUGUAGUC